rnacentral:rRNA from 1 species
UAGUUAUAUGCUUGUUCUAAAGAUUAAGCCAUGCAUGUGUCGGAAUAUGUCUGUAUAGACGAAUCUGCAAACGGCUCAUUAUAACAGUGAUUGCAUAAUUGACUUUCUUAAACGGAUAACCGUGGGAAACUAAGGCUAAUACGAGCCAAUUUUGCCAGAUUUCAUUCUGUGCUGUAUUUCUUGUGUUAUAAGUCCAGGGCGCUCUGCGUGUUCGAUGAAACGCAGGAACUUUUCGAGUCGAAUAAUCGAUGCGUCAAAGUGGUUUCUGACCUAUCAGCUUUCGACGGUAGGGUAUUGGCCUACCGCGGCAAUGACGGGUAACGGGGAAUUAGGGUUUGAUUCCGGAGAGGGAGCCUGAGAAAUGGCUACCACGUCUAAGGAUGGCAGCAGGCGCGCAAAUUACCCAAUCCUGAAACAGGGAGGUAGUGACAGAAAAUAGCAACACAAAGCAUUUGCUUUUUGAUUGCAAUGUGGAUCUUCCAAAUUUUGCUUCGAGAAUCAAUUAGG